UACAGAGGUCUCAAGCGUUGUUCGGAUUCAUUGGGCGUAAAGGGUGCGUAGGCGGCGCGGUAAGUCGGGUGUGAAAUCUCGGGGCUUAACUCCGAAACUGCAUUCGAUACUGCCGUGCUUGAGGACUGGAGAGGAGACUGGAAUUUACGGUGUAGCGGUGAAAUGCGUAGAUAUCGUAAGGAAGACCAGUGGCGAAGGCGGGUUGCUGGGCUGAUACUGACGCUGAGGCGCGAAAGCCAGGGGAGCGAACGGG
rnacentral:rRNA from 1 species